CUCUCUCUGUUUUUAUCUUCUUCUUUUUUUUUUAAUACCAUAUUGGGUUAAAUUCCUGCUGCUGCUUAGUUAAGUUGGAUUGCAGGUUUUGGGCAGAAAGUUUUCAGCAGCUGUAAAAGCCAUCUUAUUGUCUGGAUUGCAGCAAACACAAUCAAAAACUGCUUUUCUGCUGAAAGAGAUUUAUCACAUGAUGAAUGUGGGAUUCAAGAUACACCUGUCUUUACAUGAUCAGCAUCUUCACAGCCCAUAAACAUUUUGAAGUGACCUUCGGUUCUGUCUGUAUUCAAUGCUGUCAUUUUGAAGUUGGAAUUACUGCCUUCUCGGAUAGUUCCUGAAAGUUACUUUCAUGCUGUACAUGCAGUGUUUUUGAAAUAUUAUUAAUUUAAGACUCUUCCACUGUUGGAUUAUAAGAAUGCGCUAUCACCAAUAAUUGAAUGGCAAGCACUAGCUUUGAUGUCUCUGCAUUAGGAGUUCCGACCGAUCAUGAGUCUUUGCCAUAUGAGCCAAGAGCAACUCAAGCUUUCUGAUUUACCAGCUGACGAGUACUGCUGCCUGUAAUAGCACAUUUAUAAGAGUUAUUUUUGAAGAAAAGGAGCCAGAUAUAUUGUUGGUUAUUCACUUAAAUUUUGCCUCCGAGCUCAAACCUGUACAGUUCUUUCUUUCUGCUAUUCAUCCGUUUUCCUGACAAGGCCGUAGCAAUUUCAAAUAAAAAACGCAAUCUCAAAUCAAUGCAAAA